rnacentral:lncRNA from 1 species
GGCCAGCCCGGGGAGGAAGAUGGAGGAGCCGCGGCCGGGCGGGCACCGCGGCCGUGCCAGGAGCGCGGCGGAGGGGCUGCUCUUGAUGGGUGGAAAACACCGCUUCUCGCUCUCCUCACGGCAUGGAAAAUACCGAAACACGCUUUAGGAGAAAAAAAUAACACAGCAACAACCCCCAAACAGCUGAGGAUUGAUGUAUCUUCAGGGAAGAAGCCGUCGCCGCUCGCCUGGCUCCUCACGACAACCUGCCCGCCAUUUGCUUAAUUAAAAGCAUAUACUUGAUGUGAUCAGAUGUGGUAAUACCGUAAAAAAAAAAACCCAAACCAAACCAAAAUACCCCGUAACAUCCAAACGCUCGUUGUUGGAGGCUGCAGCCAAGCUCGGCUGCUUAUUCCAGAAGUUUCUACAGGGGAGGGAGCACCCACUGCGGAGCCUUUGCCGCAGCGCCGGGAGGAGAUGCCGAGGAUGCGCCACCUCUCCCCUUCCCAAGCCUCCCCCCUUCGCUCGAUUUUCCCCAUCCUUGGGAAAAAAACGCUGCUGGGAGGUGUGUUAAGGGUGUUUUUUAUUAAAAAAUCUUCCUCCUUCCCCCUCCCCGCUUUGCUAAAUGAAUUAAAAGCAGCGCUGUCUCCCGAUGGAGAUGGAUGAGGCUGCUCGCUCGCACGCUCCCCUGCAGCCUCCGGCUGCCCCAGCGAGGGGACCGCGGCCACAAGUGACCUUCCCCAGGUGCCCCGACACGCUGCUGCUUCUUGGGAUUCAUUUUAAAUAGGCUUAUUAUUUUUUAUCUCCCCCCUCCCCUUAAAGAACAGUUCGCUCUUUCAGUGAUUCUUUUUUCUUGACGCUUCUUCAUGAUCCUUUUUUUUUGUGUGUGUGUUUUGAAUUGCAUCUUAAAACUGCCCAGCUGGAGACAGGUCUCGAUUAGAGCUGGAACAAUAGUUCCAUUUUAUUAAUAACGGGAAGGAUUUACAAUCCUCCAGCACCUUCCUUGGAAGGCUUUCAGGAAUCAUUUGCAAACACGCACACAUUUAAGAUCCCGCAGCCAAGGGCUGGGAGGUGGGUAAGUAUGUGAAUGGUGCCACCGCCAAAAAUCGCGUCGGUGGCCAAUCUGCCUUUCCGAGUGCUGAAAAAAAGACAGAUUGGGUGGGUUCUAGGGCUGUGACCUCAAUCUGUCCCGUGUUCUCUGUAGAUGCCGAUUGUUCUGCUGCAUCCUGAGAACUGGGCUGUACAGAGGACCGCGCCGCCUUGCCGGAGCGGAGCUGUGGACUCGCUUGCUGCUCAGUAAACAUCUGCUUAUAGAUCUUUAUUUCUUUGAUUAUCUUUUUCUAAUUCAUUACCUUUUUGCAGUCCCCAAGCGACCUCCUUUAGUGCUGGCUCCGCUGUGGUUUGACCGCAGCUUCGCGUUAAAGCGCUAAUGUGUCUAAUGACCUUGCUUGGGGACCGGGCCCACCGGGCUGCUGCGGAUGCUCCGUUUCCAUUACAGAACCCCACACGCCGUGUAUUCCCAUUUUUCCAACGCAUCCUUCCCUCGCCUGGGAAUGUUGCAAUAUUAUAGUGUCUUCUGCCUUAUUUUUUGUCCUUUUUCCCCCCCUCUUUCCUAGGGAUACACAGGAUUGUGUAACCCACGGCAGAUGUAACCAUCUCAGAGCUGUCUGGGCAGUCGGAUCUGGCCUUGCUGAGACACGGGUUGUCGCUGGAAAUGUGGAGAACGCACCAAACGCACGUGGGGACAGACAAACGUAUUCUGGGGUCACUUCAACUCUGGAGGAGAAGCCCUGGGAUGUGUUGGUUUGGAGAUGCUCCUUGUGCUCACCGGAGGUACCAAGAAGCUGCUUGUUGGGGAUGUUUCCACGUUUUUGAGGUUGGCAACACCCCGUGGGACUCGGAAUUAACUUUUCUUUGGUAGUCGAGGACAAACGAGUGAGAAUCACCUUGGGAGCGCUGAACUUUUACCCCCCUCUCCUUCGGACUGAAGAGCUUCUAGAACUACAUCGGUGAGGCUUCCAAGUUAAACAAAACCUGAAUUCCCGCUGCCAAAAAGCAAGCGAGCGAUAGAAACCUCCACAUCUCCUCCGUGAGGGGGGACACCGCGGUCUCCCGAGAUUAUUCUGGUAUCCCCAAGAGUUAAAAAUGCUGCAUCGUGAGACCUGCGGAGGUCAAACGAAAGCCAGAGCUCACCGAGAAACUCUUCUCCGUAUCGCUCAAGGGGUUUUUGAGCAUAGCAGGUCUCCACGCACCAUUAUUUUUGUGUCUUUGUCAGGACCAAAGGAGCGAUAAUAGUGUGUUCAGUCUGCUUUGUUUAAAACACCGUCGAGUUGCUUUGCUAUCAAAAUGGUGUCUGGUGAAAGAAAAGCUCUGGUGGUGGCUGGCUCGGUGGUUAUUUUGUGCCAACCGAUCCCUCGUGGCUUUGGGCUGUGGGUUCGUGUUAAACCCUUGUCCUCCAGCG